UGGGCUUGGUGUCAAACAGGUGACUGUUAUCGGCAGUGGAUAUGUCUAAGCCGGUGAGCAUAAGUACAUCAGCAAGAGUGGGUGAAGCAGGGCCAUGGCUGAAUACAAAAGCAUUGAGCGUGUCUGACCAAAAAUAUGAGGCAGCUAUCAGCAGUGACUCAUUUCUCUCCAUAUCGGCAAGAGAUAAUCUGAUGCACUGGUCUAGUUUCCGCUCACCCCACUAGACUUUAUUUGAAUGGCUGACUCUCAGGAACCAGUCUUUCCAUCCCUUGGUGGGACUGGGCCAGGAACGAAAGGCAUCUUUCCAUAGAUCUAAGGAAAAGUUUUCGGCUCUGAAGGGGAUUCUAUUUGUCUCUGCAUUUAUUAGAUCGGUGGCAUCUGGAUUUCCUAACGGGCUGAGACAUUGGAAGUGGGGUUGAUCGGUAGGAAUUACAAUCUUCUCGGCCAAAUCCUAAAAGUUUUGAGGAUGAAAGAACAAAAAGAAAAAAAGGGGUACUCAGUAAAAGGACUCGUAUAUGAAUAGGAGUACAGCAAAAGUGCGAAAAGAAAAAAGAUGGUAAACUGACCUCAGGAACGACGAAGUUGAUGGCCAUUUCUUCGUGAGGAAGAGGAUCAAAGACUUGGAGGAUUGGUGAAGGAGACUCUUGCUAAAGUUCUUGGAGUUCUCGGGCAAUGCCGCCGCUAGGAAAGUGGAUUUUAGGCUGUAGAAUGAUAAGAUAGAGGAGGAGUACCAGAGAAGGAAGUAUUUAUAGGACAAAACGGGCAGAGGCAAAUCUGACUUAUCUCUUUGCCGCAUCCGUGAAAUCCGAGGGUGUUC
rnacentral:lncRNA from 1 species